rnacentral:rRNA from 1 species
AUUGAACGCUGGCGGCAGGCUUAACACAUGCAAGUCGAGCGGUAGCACAGGGGAGCUUGCUCCCUGGGUGACGAGCGGCGGACGGGUGAGUAAUGUCUGGGAAACUGCCUGAUGGAGGGGGAUAACUACUGGAAACGGUAGCUAAUACCGCAUAACGUCGCAAGACCAAAGAGGGGGACCUUCGGGCCUCUUGCCAUCAGAUGUGCCCAGAUGGGAUUAGCUAGUAGGUGGGGUAAUGGCUCACCUAGGCGACGAUCCCUAGCUGGUCUGAGAGGAUGACCAGCCACACUGGAACUGAGACACAGUCCAGACUCCUACGGGAGGCAGCAGUGGGGAAUAUUGCACAAUGGGCGCAAGCCUGAUGCAGCCAUGCCGCGUGUGUGAAGAAGGCCUUCGGGUUGUAAAGCACUUUCAGCGAGGAGGAAGGUGGUGAGCUUAAUACGUUCAUCAAUUGACGUUACUCGCAGAAGAAGCACCGGCUAACUCCGUG